GACGAACGCUGGCGGCGUGCCUAAUACAUGCAAGUUGAGCGCUGAAGGUUGGUACUUGUACCAACUGGAUGAGCAGCGAACGGGUGAGUAACGCGUGGGGAAUCUGCCUUUGAGCGGGGGACAACAUUUGGAAACGAAUGCUAAUACCGCAUAAAAACUUUAAACACAAGUUUUAAGUUUGAAAGAUGCAAUUGCAUCACUCAAAGAUGAUCCCGCGUUGUAUUAGCUAGUUGGUGAGGUAAAGGCUCACCAAGGCGAUGAUACAUAGCCGACCUGAGAGGGUGAUCGGCCACAUUGGGACUGAGACACGGCCCAAACUCCUACGGGAGGCAGCAGUAGGGAAUCUUCGGCAAUGGACGAAAGUCUGACCGAGCAAACGCCGCGUGAGUGAAAGAAAGGUUUUUCGGAUUCGUAAAAACUUCUGUUGGUA
rnacentral:rRNA from 1 species